AUUGAACGCUGGCGGAAUGCUUUACACAUGCAAGUCGAACGGCAGCACGGGGGCAGCCCUGGUGGCGAGUGGCGAACGGGUGAGUAAUACAUCGGAACGUGCCCGGUCGUGGGGGAUAACGUAGCGAAAGUUACGCUAAUACCGCAUACGAUCUGAGGAUGAAAGCGGGGGACCUUCGGGCCUCGCGCGAUCGGAGCGGCCGAUGUCAGAUUAGGUAGUUGGUGGGGUAAAGGCCUACCAAGCCGACGAUCUGUAGCUGGUCUGAGAGGACGAGCAGCCACACUGGGACUGGGACACGGCCCAGACUCCUACGGGAGGCAGCAGUGGGGAAUUUUGGACAAUGGGCGCAAGCCUGAUCCAGCCAUUCCGCGUGCAGGACGAAGGCCUUCGGGUUGUAAACUGCUUUUGUACGGAACGAAAAGGCUCUGGCUAAUACCUGGGGCUCAUGACGGUACCGUAAGAAUAAGCACCGGCUAACUACGUG
rnacentral:rRNA from 1 species